GGCACAUACACUGACAGACAUACUGACACACACAGAUACAUACACUGUCAGAUAUACUGACAUACACUCACAGACAUACUGACACACACAGAGAUACAGACACUGUCAAACAUACUGACAUACACACAUACACUAUCAGACAUACUGACAUACACAGACACACACAGACAUACUGACAUACACAGACACAUACACUGUCAGACAUACUGACACACACACACACACACACACUAUCAGACAUACUGACAUACACAGACAAACUGUCAGACAUACUGACACACAAACACACACAGACAUACUGACACACACAGACACAUACACUAUCAGACAUACUGACACACAUACUGAC